rnacentral:rRNA from 1 species
UACGUAGGGUGCGAGCGUUGUCCGGAAUUAUUGGGCGUAAAGGGCUCGUAGGCGGUCUGUCGCGUCGGGAGUGAAAACACGGGGCUUAACCCCGUGCCUGCUUCCGAUACGGGCAGACUAGAGGUAUGCAGGGGAGAACGGAAUUCCUGGUGUAGCGGUGAAAUGCGCAGAUAUCAGGAGGAACACCGGUGGCGAAGGCGGGUCUCUGGGCCGAUAUUGACGCUGAGGAGCGAAAGCGUGGGGAGCGAACAGG